rnacentral:rRNA from 1 species
AACGAACGCUGGCGGCAGGCUUAACACAUGCAAGUCGAACGGUUGUAGCAAUACAGCAGUGGCGCACGGGUGAGUAACGCGUGGAUAUCUGCCUUUUGGUUCGGAAUAACUCCGGGAAACCGGAGCUAAUACCGGAUGGUUCCUACGGGAUAAAGAUUUAUCGCCAAAAGAUGAGUCCGCGUACGAUUAGCUAGUUGGCGGGGUAAUGGCCCACCAAGGCGACGAUCGUUAGCUGGUCUGAGAGGACGAUCAGCCACACUGGGACUGAGACACGGCCCAGACUCCUACGGGAGGCAGCAGUGGGGAAUAUUGGACAAUGGGGGCAACCCUGAUCCAGCCAUGCCGCGUGAGUGAUGAAGGCCUUCGGGUUGUAAAGCUCUUUUGGCGGGGACGAUGAUGACGGUACCCGCAGAAUAAGCCCCGGCUAACUUCGUGCCAGCCGCCGCCGUAACAC